rnacentral:rRNA from 1 species
CAGCAGCCGCGGGAAUACGUAGGGUGCGAGCGUUAAUCGGAAUUACUGGGCGUAAAGCGUGCGCAGGCGGUUGUGUAAGACAGGUGUGAAAUCCCCGGGCUUAACCUGGGAACUGCGCUUGUGACUGCACAGCUAGAGUAUGGCAGAGGGGGGUGGAAUUCCACGUGUAGCAGUGAAAUGCGUAGAGAUGUGGAGGAACACCGAUGGCGAAGGCAGCCCCCUGGGCCAAUACUGACGCUCAUGCACGAAAGCGUGGGGAGCAAACAGGAUUAGAUACCCGCGUAGUCCCUGUCUCUUAUAA